UUGGGAAUCUUGCACAAUGGAGGCAACUCUGAUGCAGCGACGCCGCGUGGAGGAUGACGGAUCUAGGUCUGUAAACUCCUUUUGCCAGGAAAGACUUAGGACGGUACCUGGCGAAUAAGCACCGGCUAACUACGUGCCAGCAGCCGCGGUAAGACGUAGGGUGCAAGCGUUGUCCGGAUUUACUGGGCGUAAAGGGCGCGUAGGCGGCUCGUUAAGUGUGAAGUGAAAUUUUCAGGGCUCAACCCGAAAACUGCUUCGCAUACUGGCGGGCUUGAGGAACGCAGAGGUGACUAGAAUUCCCGGUGUAGCGGUGAAAUGCGUUGAUAUCGGGAGGAAUUCCCAUGGCGAAGGCAGGUCACUGGGCGUUCCCUGACGCUGAGGCGCGAAAGCGUGGGUAGCAAACAGG
rnacentral:rRNA from 1 species